GCAGUCAAUUUCAGCUCAUGUUAGAUGAGGUUCUCCUCUUAUUCCCAACGCAGUCAAUUUCAGCUCAUGUUAGGAUGAGGUUCUCCUCCUGUUCCUAACAGGGCUGUGGGGGCACGUAAGGGCCAUUGCAAGGGCCUCUCCCCCCAUCCAAUCUCUAAAUAACUGGGCCUUCGACUUUGCUCAUGUUAGGACGAGGUUCUCCUCCUAUUC
rnacentral:lncRNA from 1 species